rfam:Hordeum vulgare subsp. vulgare, WGS project CAJW01000000 data, contig: morex_contig_74206
AUUGUAGUCCCUCCGUCCCAAAAUUAUUGUCUUAGAUUUGUUUAAAUAUGAAUGUAUCUAGUCACAUUUUAGUAUUUAGAUACAUCCAUUUCUAUACAAAUCUAAGACAAGAAUUUUGGGACGGAAGGAGUACAUU